rnacentral:rRNA from 1 species
UACGUAGGGUGCGAGCGUUAAUCGGAAUUACUGGGCGUAAAGGCGUGCGCAGGCGGUGAUGUAAGACAGAUGUGAAAUCCCCGGGCUCAACCUGGGACCUGCAUUUGUGACUGCAUCGCUAGAGUAACGGCAGAGGGGGAUGGAAUUCCGCGUGUAGCAGUGAAAUGCGUAGAUAUGCGGAGGAACACCGAUGGCGAAGGCAAUCCCCUGGGCCUGUACUGACGCUCAUGCACGAAAGGCGUGGGGAGCAAACAGG